rnacentral:rRNA from 1 species
UACGUAGGGGGCGAGCGUUUGUCCGGAUUUAUUGGGCGUAAAGAGCGUGUAGGCGGCCAGACAGGUCCGUUGUGAAAACUCGAGGCUCAACCUCGAGACGUCGACGGAAACCGUCUGGCUAGAGUCCGGAAGAGGAGUGUGGAAUUCCUGGUGUAGCGGUGAAAUGCGCAGAUAUCAGGAAGAACACCUAUGGCGAAGGCAGCACUCUGGGACGGUACUGACGCUGAGACGCGAAAGCGUGGGGAGCGAACAGG